GCUGGUGUGGCUCAGCGGAUAGAGCAUUGGGCUGCAGACUGAAGGGUCCGGGUUCGAUUCCGGUCAAGGGCA
rnacentral:tRNA from 1 species